UUUACCUACGGGAGGCAGCAGUAGGGAAUCUUCGGCAAUGGACGAAAGUCUGACCGAGCAACGCCGCGUGAGUGAAGAAGGUUUUCGGAUCGUAAAACCCUGUUGUUAGAGAAGAAAGUGCGUGAGAGUAACUGUUCACGUUUCGACGGUAUCUAACCAGAAAGCCACGGCUAACUACGUGCCAGCAGCCGCGGUAAUACGUAGGUGGCAAGCGUUAUCCGGAUUUAUUGGGCGUAAAGGGAACGCAGGCGGUCUUUUAAGUCUGAUGUGAAAGCCUUCGGCUUAACCGGAGUAGUGCAUUGGAA
rnacentral:rRNA from 1 species